GACAGAGGGUGCAAACGUUGUUCGGAAUUACUGGGCGUAAAGCGCGUGUAGGCGGCUUAGCAAGUCGGAUGUGAAAGCCCUGGGCUUAACCCAGGAAGUGCACUCGAAACUGCUGAGCUUGAGUUCUGGAGAGGAAGGCGGAAUUCUCGGUGUAGAGGUGAAAUUCGUAGAUACCGAGAGGAACACCGGUGGCGAAGGCGGCUUUCUGGACAGUGACUGACGCUGAGACGCGAAAGCGUGGGGAGCAAACAGG
rnacentral:rRNA from 1 species